AUGUGGCCGAGCCCCCUAAAGGAAGACUUGAAGAGUGCGCGUCACAUGAUCUCAAGAACUAGCCACCCAAGUGGUCACCCUGUCAUCUGCCCUGUUGUUCUGACUCAGCCCCACCACCAUCUGCAGCCACCAAAGCUUCUGGAAGGCAACUUGCUGCUCCUGGAAUCCCUGGAAGGAGAUGUGGGGACCCUGCCAGGGUGCUCCCCGGAGCCGGUCAGUGGCCAGGGCUCAGGCUCCACCUGCCUGACCGCUCCUGGGUCCACCACGCCCUUGGUUCUGGCCCUCCACUUCCUGGUUGCCACUGACGGUGCCAGAAAGGAUUCAGAUCAUCUUACAGUGCUCCGAAAAUAUAGCCAGGUGAAAUCAAUAGGAAAGUACAUGAGAAAGAGAAGGAGAAGGCUGACGGUAUUUCCUGCCUCGUUCAGCUCGUUGGUAACGUUCGGGGUGGGGGAAUCCUUUGGCCAUCAUCCAUUCAGGAAACUUGGCUAUUUUAGGAUCAGACGUAGAAACCUGACUGAGACACCGGGAGAUGGCUCUCCAAAUGGUCUGACCCAGACACCUGGGUCGAAUGCUGAGGUGCUAGAGGUGGGGACCCCAGCACCUGGCUGAUGUCCGGCGGGCAGGGUGCAGCCUCCCCCAGUGGCGUUGGUCAUCAUCUCACACGCUUGAACCCUCAGCUUCUCCCGUAGCAACUGCUGGCCCAGAAAGUGAAGGAAUCAGAACCUGAACACCUGAGAGCUGGGCAUCUGAUCAAUUAAAGGCAGUUUAGCAGGAAGCCACCUCCUGAACACCCCGGAUUUCAACAAAAGGUUCCUUGUCACAGCCAGAGAACACAGGUAAAGCCAAAGCUUGAGGCGGUGUUGAUUCAGGAAGAAGGAAAAGAAAAUUGCUCUUUGGGUUUUUUUUUUGUUAACCGACCUCACAGAGUUAUUGAAAGGAUUAAAUGAAUACAGAGAGAAAGACCUACUGUCAUUUGUGCUUGGAUGCAAUUCCAAGAGAAGUGUUUUCUUCUAAAUAAUGACAACAGCUAACACCUGCAUCAAACCUACUCUGUGUUUUUGGUGAUGUACACACGUCUAACUCAUUUGCAUUUCACGGCAAGCCUAUGAGGCGAGUACUGCUGAGCCCUGAGUUGCAGACGCACAGAGAGGGCGAGCGGUUCCUACGUCUCCCACAGCAAGUGGCCGGGCUGGACUUGAAGCCCCUGCUGGUCCCCUCUCCUGGGCCAGCCUGCAGCACUGUCACAGCGUCCUUUGUCCUUGUGCACAGGAGGCAGCUAUGGCUAUUUUUCAGUGUCAGUUUUGAGUCAUUCAAGGGCAAGCUAACAAACUCCCAUUCAUUCUUUAAUUCUCCAAUUAACUGUCGUUUCCCCAGAGAGACCCCUGAUCUAAAUCGGCUCCGACUCCCGCACCCCCAUUGUUUUCAGAGGACCUGAUAUUUUUCAUUCAGGGCACUUAUCACAAGUGUAGUGACUUAUUGUCCCUUGAGACCACUGCUCCCCCACCUGCUUAAACCACUGUGUCACCCUCCGCCCUUCCUGUCGCUGUCGUCCCCAGCCUCCCAGGUCUCCCAUCGUCCAGCUCGGGUUUUGGCACCUGGCGCUCAGGUCUUUUCCAUUUCAAAUGCUGCCUUGAUCCUGGAUGCUUCAGCCUCACGUGGAUGACCCAGCCCACAUCGGCCUUCUCCUCUCCAAGUCCUUCCCCUCGUGUCCAUCUCAGCUGACCCCUCCCACCAGCUCACGCUGGACCAGGGAUGACCUGAAACAUCUCCUGCAAAAGCAGGCAUUGGAGCACCUCCUUCCAUCUUACUUGUCCAACCAGUCCUGCUACAGCUGUGCUUUGCUCCCAACCAGACCCGUGGCUGGCUCCGUCCGCCCUCUCCUCCUUUCUUCACGUCUUUCUUGUGCUGUUUACAUGCUGCGGUGUCAGUUCAGCAGCACUCUUUCUGACCCCGUGAAUUUCCAAGCCUCUGUCUUUUCAUCACACCCAUCUGGCGAUCCUGCCUUUGCUCACUUUCCCGAGCCUGAAUCUCUGCAGCUGGUGACAGACACAACUCUAGGACCCACUGCUCUCUGCAUAAAUCAGUGUCACCAACCCGAAGGCCCUCAGCAACGCCUGCCCACCCAACCCCAUUUUGCUCCUAGACUCGCUUUCCACACGACUAUUUCAGCAGCUGGCCCAAAGCCCAGGGAGCCCUUUCCUCGGCUCUGGUGACGCCCCUGAUGGCCCAGAUCCCUGCCUGGUCGGCGCCGUUCUUCAAGGGAAGACACCUGGGGGAAACCCUUGGCCAAGGGCGCCCCACCUGUCAUGCCCUUGGCUUGGGGUCCCCGGGUUAUAUCCUUGUAAUUUGCUCUCAAGCGCUUGGUUCCAAGAGCAUCAUGGCUCUGGCCCUAGUCAGGGGCUUCAAUCUUGGCCUCCUCUGUGGCAAAGCCAGUUCCCCCUUCACAGUGACUUUGCCCUGACGUUGGACCCCAGCCCCUGUUCUAGGCUCCCCUCCCUUGUGAGGAGUUCUUCCUUGAGGGCUCCAGAUGUUUCUUGCCGGAAGCCUAAGUCUGCGCCACCUCCCUCCGUCAGUGAUGUGUAGGGGAGGGAAGACCAUUUCCCUCCACCUUCUGAGUUCUUGCCUGAGGCCUGGGAAUAAAAAACACAUUUGCAAGAGGAAAACA
rnacentral:lncRNA from 1 species